CGUGUAGGCGGUUCAGCUAGCGGCGUGUGAAAGCCCGGAGCUCAACUCCGGAAUUGCCCGCCGAACUGCUGAGCUAGAGGACGGGAGGGGGAUGUGGAACUCUAGGUGUAGCGGUGAAAUGCGUAGAUAUCUAGAGGAACGCCGGUGGCGAAAGCGACAUCCUGGCCUGUAUCUGACGCUGAGGCGCGAAAGCGUGGGUAGCAAACA
rnacentral:rRNA from 1 species